rnacentral:rRNA from 1 species
UACGUAGGGGGCAAGCGUUGUCCGGAUUUAUUGGGCGUAAAGAGCGUGUAGGCGGCCAUGUAGGUCCGUUGUGAAAACUCGAGGCUCAACCUCGAGACGCCGAUGGAAACCAUGUGGCUAGAGUCCGGAAGAGGAGAGUGGAAUUCCUGGUGUAGCGGUGAAAUGCGCAGAUAUCAGGAAGAACACCCGUGGCUAAGGCGGCUCUCUAGUACGGUACUGACGCUGAGACGCGAAAAGCGUAGGGAGCGAACAGG